GACAGAGGUGCCAAGCGUUAGGCGGAAUCACUGGGCUUAAAGCGUGUGUAGGCGGAUCGUUAAGUGCUUUGUGAAAUCCCACAGCUCAACUGUGGAACUGCUUGGCAUACUGGCGAUCUUGAGCCAUCUAGGGGUUGCUGGAACAAACGGUGGAGCGGUGAAAUGCGUAGAUAUCGUUUGGAACGCCAAUGGUGAAAACAGGCAACUGGGGAUGUGCUGACGCUGAGACACGAAAGCCAGGGGGAGCAAACGGG
rnacentral:rRNA from 1 species